rnacentral:lncRNA from 1 species
UGAUCUCCACCCUCCACAUACAGGUUCUGUGGUAUGCAUAGGCGCUCUCUCUCUCUCUCUCUCUCUCUCUCUCUCUCUCUCUCUCUCUUUCUCUCUCUCUCUCUCUCCCCUCUCCUCUCUCCUCUCUCCUCUCCCCUGAUCUUUGCUGUCACACACACAAUUUUUUAUGCACAUUGGUGUUUUGCCUGUGUGUGUGUCCGGGUGAGGGUGUUGAAUCCCUGAAGCUAGAGUUAGAGACAGUUUCGAGCUGCCCUGUGGGUGCUGGGAAGAGAACCUGAGUACCAGAAGGUACUCUUAAACACAGAGCCAUUUCUCCAGACCCCAUAAUUAAAAAAAAAAAGGCUGUUUAGAUGAUUCAAAGGCAGACUAAUCAAAAAUAUGAACCGAAAAGAAGGAAAGGGGAAAAGUAUUUCCAAGAAGAUUAAAAAUAAAUCCUAGCAAUAAUGAAAGAGGAGGGGAGGGAGAGGAGGGAAAGGGAGAAGGAGAGAAACAGGGAAGAUGGAAUGGAGAAGGGAAGGCAGGGCAGACACUAUUUCAGAUUCCUAACAACCACAGAGCAGAGCUGGAACGACCUCAGGGUCUGUUUAUUUCUGGUGUGAAAGUUGGGUCACGGACAUGUGCAGAGAUAAUGUUUUCAAGGGAGAAAGGCAGAGUGCACUCACCAUGACUGGUCCCUCCAGAGAAGUGUGUACACAAGGUCACCUGAGGGCAAGCCAAAGGGCUCCCUCCUAUUGGCCUGUAGAGGGAAGGUGACACCUCUUGCGGUGUAAGACUGUAAGACACACACAGCAUUCUUUUUCAUUCCAACCACCUCAAUCUAAAAGCUUUCUUCUGUAGAGUAGAAUGGUAGGCAGCUUCUUAAAUGCCAACUGAAAACCCCAGUGUUCACAAACGCCAUCCCUUUCCCAAGCAGAAUGUGAUGUUCUCCC